GGCGAUCAGAUACCGCCCUAGUUCUAACCGUAAACGAUGACAACCAGCGAUUAGUCGGUGUUAAUAUACGACCCGACUAGCAGCUUCCGGGAAACCAAAGUUUUUCGUUUCCGGGGGAAGUAUGGUUGCAAAGCUGAAACUUAAAGGAAUUGACGGAAGGGCACCACCAGGAGUGGAGCCUGCGGCUUAAUUUGACUCAACACGGGAAAACUCACCCGGCCCGGACACCGUAAGGAUUGACAGACUGAGAGCUCUUUCUUAAUUCGGUGGGUGGUGGUGCAUGGCCGUUCUUAGUUGGUGGAGCGAUUUGUCUGGUUAAUUCCGAUAACGAACGAGACUCUGGCCUAUUAAAUAGUCGGUAUAUCCAGAAAAGUUUACCGUACUUCUUAGAGGGACAAACGGCGUCUAGCCGCGUGAAAUAGAGCAAUAACAGGUCUGUGAUGCCCUUAGAUGUCCGGGGCUGCACGCGCGCUACACUGAAAGAAUCAGUAUGCGCUUUAACCUAGUCCGGAAGGAUUGGGUAACCCGAGCAAAUUCUUUCGUGCUUGGGAUAGGGAAUUGCAAUUAUUUCCCUUAAACGAGGAAUUCCCAGUAAAUGCGGGUCAUAAGCUCGCGUUGAUUACGUCCCUGCCCUUUGUA
rnacentral:rRNA from 4 species